ensembl:lncRNA
CUACAAGUUAAGAUCUUAAAAGCUUGAAGCACAUACUAGGCUACAACAGAUCAUCCAAGGAUAUAAGGGAGGACUUUGGUGCUCCAUUUUAGUUUUUGAUUUUUCCUUAUUGGAGGAAGAUUGUCUUGUGAUGUUCUGUCCCGGUGAAACAGCUGAGUUCUGAGAUCCUGGCUCUAUUUGGAGACAAGCCAAGGAGACCAGAGCAAGAGUGCCUUUAGGGUUCUUGACUGCCUAAGGCCAAACACUGACAAAGGAGUAAAAGUGGUUCUAGAAGUUUCUGUAUAAGGCUGUGACUAAACACCACUACAAGCAAAAGACACGGAAGUGCCUGAGAAGGCAGGUACUGGGUAUACUAGGAUAUACUAGGAUGUCACGUUCAGAGAAACAAAAAGAACGUGCCAGCAUUCAUAAGCAUUUGAAGAACAGUGUGAAUCCCCCUCCUGUUUGCUUUAAGGCUUUAGUGUUGAUGAUGUAAGUCAGGAGGAUUAGCAGCUGGGAGAUGAAGCAGGUGAAAGUACCAGCCAGGCACUGUGAGCUGAUCAUAAUGGUGGUGAAACCAAGGGCAUCCAGUCCACUGUGCGGUACCGUUGUGGUCUGGGCCUUCUGAGGGGACUAUAGGAGCAGUGCUUGGGGUGCAGGUGGAGCAGGUUUAUAAGGAGAAAACAUCAAUAUGGUCUGUCUAGCACAUGCCUCACCACCACCUAUGCUAGUGCUAUAAAAGAUGUGAUUUCCCAUGACUACAACACCAAGUUCAAUUCCAAUUCAGUCCCAAGCACUAGGCAGAAUGGUGGUAAUCACAUUAGCACACCGACCCUACAGUUGGGUUGCAAGUUCAUGUUUCUUACCUGGGGCAGCUGGUCUUCUUUGCAACAUAGUAAGUAGAAUGGGAAACAUCUGGUCUUGUCAUUAGCCUUGGGCCCAUUGUUACCUCCCCUGCAGGAGCCACUUGCCAUGGCUUUCCCCCUGCACUGUUGAGGGCACUGCCACAGUUAUUGCCUCUACUCUUGCCAAGGCUCUCUAAAGCAUGACUGGGAGUUAUACUUCCUUCAUGACAUGAUGGAGGUUAAUGCAGGCUUCAAACCUUCAUGGAUGAAUCAAACAGCUGAGCAGAAAAAGCCGACAUAAAUAUUUGCAGUCCUAGCAGAGUUUGCGUGGGAAGAAGAAUGCGUAGAAGAUGAUGCAGUAGAAACGAUAUAUGGACAAAGACUUCAAGAAAGAAAAUGAGUUCUUUGUUGAAGUUGCUGGAUGGAUAUUCCUUUUUAUCUUCACAAGUCCUGGAGGAACAGCAGUGGAUUCCCUGCCUUAUUUCAUCUCCUGGUCUGAUCCAUUAUGUCAACCUUAUGCAUAAGAAGCAGCUCUGUUUCAUCAUUACCAUCCUUUUCUGUUGAAAUUCUACAUCGUUAGGAGUGGUUAGCCAUUGAGUGGAACAGUAUCUACUUGCUACAAAGCACUUGAAUAUGCUCUGCUCAAAUGGAAUAUGUAGAAAAAUCCUCUUGUCAGAAUGACUACAAAAAUAACUACCAACUUCCCCGUCCUAUCUAUUGAAAGAAAAACAGAAUACUUCUGCCUCAGAUUGCAGGCUGCAGUGGCCAACAGACAGCUGGAAUAAAUGCCAUAUCCCCAGAUUCUCAUUCUAUUCUAAAUUAUGUGCAGAGGAGAGCAUCCAGAGAAAUGCAGAAGUCGUCGCAGUGGCC